CCUACGGGUGGCUGCAGUGGGGAAUAUUGGGCAAUGGGCGCAAGCCUGACCCAGCAACGCCGCGUGAAGGAAGAAGGCUUUCGGGUUGUAAACUUCUUUUCUCAGGGACGAAGAAAGUGACGGUACCUGAGGAAUAAGCCACGGCUAACUACGUGCCAGCAGCCGCGGUAAUACGUAGGUGGCAAGCGUUAUCCGGAUUUAUUGGGUGUAAAGGGCGUGUAGGCGGGAGCGCAAGUCAGAUGUGAAAACUCAGGGCUCAACCCUGAGCCUGCAUUUGAAACUGUGUUUCUUGAGUGCUGGAGAGGCAAUCGGAAUUCCGUGUGUAGCGGUGAAAUGCGUAGAUAUAUGGAAGAACACCAGUGGCGAAGGCGGCCGCCUGGCCUGUUGACUGACGCUGAGGCACGAAAGCGUGGGGAGCAAAUAGGAUUAGAUACCCCUGUAGUC
rnacentral:rRNA from 1 species